UACGUAGGGACCAAGCGUUGUUCGGAUUUACUGGGCGUAAAGGGCGCGUAGGCGGCGUGUUAAGUCAGCUGUGAAAUCUCCGAGCUUAACUCGGAAAGGUCAACUGAUACUGCUCGGCUAGAGUGCGGAAGGGGCAACUGGAAUUCUUGGUGUAGCGGUGAAAUGCGUAGAUAUCAAGAGGAACACCUGCGGCGAAGGCGGGUUGCUGGGCCGACACUGACGCUGAUGCGCGAAAGCUAGGGGAGCGAACGGG
rnacentral:rRNA from 1 species